GAUGAACGCUAGCGGGAGGCCUAACACAUGCAAGCCGAGCGGUAUUUGUUCUUCGGAACAGAGAGAGCGGCGCACGGGUGCGGAACACGUGUGCAACCUGCCUUUAUCUGGGGGAUAGCCUUUCGAAAGGAAGAUUAAUACCCCAUAAUAUAUUGAGUGGCAUCACUUGAUAUUGAAAACUCCGGUGGAUAGAGAUGGGCACGCGCAAGAUUAGAUAGUUGGUGAGGUAACGGCUCACCAAGUCAAUGAUCUUUAGGGGGCCUGAGAGGGUGAUCCCCCACACUGGUACUGAGACACGGACCAGACUCCUACGGGAGGCAGCAGUGAGGAAUAUUGGGCAAUGGGUUAGCGCCUGAUCCAGCCAUCCCGCGUGAAGGACGACGGCCCUAUGGGUUGUAAACUUCUUUUGUAUAGGGAUAAACCUACUCUCGUGAGAGUAGCUGAAGGUACUAUACGAAUAAGCACCGGCUAACUCCGUG
rnacentral:rRNA from 1 species